AGAAAUUUAGGUUAAAUAGACCAAGAGCCUUCAAAGCCCUAAGAAAGUAGACUAUACUUAAUUUCUG
rnacentral:tRNA from 1 species